rnacentral:rRNA from 1 species
GCCCUUGCCCAUUUGAGGGGGAUACCAGUUGGAAACGACUGUUAAUACCGCAUAAUAUCUGUGGAUUAAAGGUGGCUUUCGGGCUGUCGCAGAUGGAUGAGCCUGCGUUGGAUUAGCUAGUUGGUGGGGUAAGGGCCCACCAAGGCUACGAUCCAUAGCUGAUUUGAGAGGAUGAUCAGCCACAUUGAGACUGAGACACGGCCCAAACUCCUACGGGAGGCAGCAGUGGGGAAUAUUGGACAAUGGGGGCAACCCUGAUCCAGCAAUGCCAUGUGUGUGAAGAAGGCCCUAGGGUUGUAAAGCACUUUAGUUGGGGAGGAAAGCCUCAAGGUUAAUAGCCUUGGGGAGGACGUUACCCAAAGAAUAAGCACCGGCUAACUCCGUGCCAGCAGCCGCGGUAAUACGGGGGGUGCAAGCGUUAAUCGGAAUUACUGGGCGUAAAGGGUCUGUAGGUGGUUUGUUAAGUCAGAUGUGAAAGCCCAGGGCUCAACCUUGGAACUGCAUUUGAUACUGGCAAACUAGAGUACGGUAGAGGAAUGGGGAAUUUCUGGUGUAGCGGUGAAAUGCGUAGAGAUCAGAAGGGACACCAAUGGCGAAGGCAACAUUCUGGACCGAUACUGACACUGAGGGACGAAAGCGUGGGGAUCAAACAGGAUUAGAUACCCUGGUAGUCCACGCUAUAAACGAUGAGUACUAGCUGUUGGAGUCGGUGUAAAGGCUCUAGUGGCGCAGCUAACGCAAUAAGUACUCCGCCUGGGGACUACGGCCGCAAGGCUAAAACUCAAAGGAAUUGACGGGGACCCGCACAAGCGGUGGAGCAUGUGGUUUAAUUCGAUGCAACGCGAAGAACCUUACCUGGUCUUGACAUCCUGCGAACUUUCUAGAGAUAGAUUGGUGCCUUCGGGAACGCAGUGACAGGUGCUGCACGGCUGUCGUCAGCUCGUGUUGUGAAAUGUUGGGUUAAGUCCCGCAACGAGCGCAACCCCUAUUGAUAGUUACCAUCAUUAAGUUGGGUACUCUAUUGAGACUGCCGCUGACAAGGCGGAGGAAGGUGGGAACGACGUCAAGUCAUCAUGGCCCUUACGACCAGGGCUACACACGUGCUACAAUGGGUAUUACAGAGGGCUGCGAAGGUGCGAGCUGGAGCGAAACUCAAAAAGGUACUCUUAGUCCAAG